GGGUUGUUAGCUCAGCUGGUAGAGCAGCGGACUCUUAAUCCGUAGGUCGUGGGUUCGAACCCCUCACAACCCACCA
rnacentral:tRNA from 1 species